UGCAAUGGAUUUGUGCCAUAAGAGAUCAUCUUGAAAAUUCCAGCCUUCCCUGACCAUGGUAAAGAGGUUAUGCUUAACUUUUUGCUCUGUUGCUUCUGGGAAACAUCCUGUUACGGGAGGAUAAAUGACAAACGCAGUGUGCAGGACCAGAUGUGUGCCUUCAACACCAACGGGAUGGAUGAGCCAUGAACAAGCCACCACUGCAGCACAGCAGCAAGCCACAGGAAUACCCUAGCUACAUGCUUUUAUUCCUCAAUCUUCAAGCUGUGUGGCAGACCAUCCCUAUCACACUGGUAGAUUGGGAGACUCCAGAUAAUCGAAGGCAGAAGCUUUAAUGUCUAGG